ACAGUGCAAAUCUGUUAGGGCCUAUAUAAGAGCACUGUAAGCCCGCCUGGAAGAGUAACUGGACGCAUAGGCCGAAUCCCUGAGGACCUUCAGCCAAAUUAGAGAAUUCCAACAUGAACCGCUUUCUAGGAACCAACCUGAUUGUCGCUGUUGCCGUCGCAAUAGCUGUCAUUAUUAUGGCUCCCAAUGAAGCCGCUGCCAUCGAUGGUGACUUUGUCAACCCAUUAGGCCGCAAGAAGUGAACUGAAGAUCACCAUGGCUGAAGUCGUUCUUGUUGUUUCAAGAGCAUGAAUUCUCAUUCUUGCAAUAAAUGAGUUUAACAAGCACCCAUCAGCACAUGGCUACAGAA